rnacentral:sRNA from 1 species
CCGAGAAGUUGAAGACACUAACAGAAGGUUUGGAAGCCUACAGCCGUGUCCGGAAAAGGAACAGAAAGGGUGUGGACUUAAAAGUAAGUUUUCUUUGGAA